rfam:Aspergillus zonatus CBS 506.65 unplaced genomic scaffold ASPZOscaffold_184, whole genome shotgun sequence.
GGUUCUUUGAUUUAAUUGGUUAAAAUACUUUCUUGAUAAGAAUGAUUUCAGUGUUCGAACCACUGAAGAAUCA